rnacentral:tRNA from 1 species
GUUUAAUUAGUAUAAAAAGUACAUUUAAUUUCCAAUUAAAAAGUUUAUUUAAAUUAAACA